rnacentral:rRNA from 1 species
GCUAUUUCUGCUCAUGAUUUUAUUAAAUAGCCGCAGUACUUUGACUGUGCAAAGGUAGCAUAAUCAAUUGACUUAUAAUUGAGGUCUGGAAUGAAAGAAAAUAUGGGGGUAGGCUGUCUCAUUUAAAUUGUUUUAAUUUAAUUAAUAAGUGAAAAUGCUUAUAUUUAAAUAAUAGACGAGAAGACCCUAGAAAUUUUUAAAACAUAUAACGUAUGGUUUUUGUUGGGGCGACAAAGUAACAAAUAACUUACUUUUUCUUAUAAGAAUAUUAUAUUAAGAAUAAUUAAAUUACUCUAGGGAUAACAGCAUAAUAUUAAAAAGUUUGUGACCUCGAUGUUGGAUUAGGACUAUUUAACCCAAAAGGUAAUAAUUUUUGCUCUGUUCGAGCAUAUAUUCCUACGUGAUCUGAUUCAGACCGG